GCACCGCGCACAGGCUGUGCCAAAGUCCACAGGCACCCUUCGGCCUCCAUCAUCGCGCCCUCUUCACAGAUGAGCAAACGGAGGCCAGACGUCACCGGCAGGCGGCGCUGCGGUGCGCGAGGCCUCGCACCUGCACGGGAAGCAGCGGAGAGGACGCAGUGCUACAGUAACAGAACCUUUGGUCCAGAGCCUGGGAUGUUGCCUUUUGCCCACUGGAAUUCCCAUCUUGGAAGAGUAAGCGCAGGGGAUUGUCCAGACAGCCAGGAGGCCAGCGAAGCCAAGUCCUUCAGUACAGCCUGGGAGCCUCCAGGAAGCUGUUAGGAGUUGCCAUGAUGGGUGCAUUUGGACUCACAGAAUCUGCCUUCCAAUCUCAGUGCUGCUUCUACUCCUUUGCUACCUUAGGUCUUUGAAGACAGGUCCAUACCUUGGGUGUUUGUAUUUGGACAACCACAGACAUUGCCAAGAAAUGUAUCUGUUCUACUUGCACACCUUCACCACCUGGAUGCUGCUUGAGGACACAGAUCUGGUCCAUCAGAUUUCUCUCUGUACUCCUCUCUAUAUUUCGCCAUAUUUGAUAUAGACCCAUCAAUGGCUCCCUAGAAUAAAAUCUCAACUCUUCACUGUGCCCACAGCCCCAGUGACCUUGCCACUUCCAUCAGAGCCCUCACACCAGUGCCCAGACAUACAGACUGACCUCCUGACCAUCCCCCAGAUGUGCUAAGGCCGGUUCUGCUUCUGGACUUCUGAACAGACAUGUUUGGUAAACCCAAACAUUUCAGAUGGUGAAUAGCUCUGAAAGCAAAGUAAGACAGGGUAGGGCAGGAAGGACUUCCAGCAAAGUCACCCCAGGCUGGCCCCUUUC
rnacentral:lncRNA from 1 species